CUUAACAAACUCCUCUUAUUUUCUUGCAAUCUACGUAAUAGCCAGUAUAUUAGGUGUAACAGAGAAUAUUUAAUCAAGUGGACAAAUUAAGUUGUUUGCAUUCUACACAAAACAUUAAUAUAAUGCCAUUGUAGUUUAGCAAGUGCAUGCAUAAUGGAAGGAGUGAGAUGAGCAUGACCCACUUGAAUCAGUAUUGUUUUCUGAGACAGAGAGC